rnacentral:tRNA from 1 species
GCCAGCGUAGCUCAGUGGUAGAGCAGUGGUUUUGUAAACCAUUGGUCGUGGGUUCGACUCCCUCCGCUGGCUCCA